AUUAUAUCUUAUUGACCAUAAUUACUUCUCUGUAAUUUAAUAUUAAUUUAAUCGUGUCGCUACAUAUAUAAUUUGAUAUUUACAUCUUUAAACGGUUCUCAAAUCCUGUUCACCAGAUGCUAUUCGAACAUAUGGUGUGCCACUUUUCAGAAAUCUCGAGGAACCGCUAUGCAACGCGAUGUUUACGAUAUCGACUUCGUAGUCGUAAGUUUAUAAUAUAAGUAUAUGCUUUCAGAAAUCGUUUUUUUUAUCUUCAAUGUGUAUGGACAAUUAUCGAGCUUGCCAAUGAUUACAUUAUAUCUUGACCUUCAUCAACAUGCUGUUGGAUAUCAUCAGCCUUCGGAUAAAUUGCUCUUACGUUCUCUAACUGAUUAACAGUGAAAGUAUUAGUUUCUGGCUUAGAGAAUAGAAAAAAAUGGGAAAAAUUUCUACCAAUCAAGAUCUUCUAAAAUAAUUAAUCAUAUUCUCAUUCGAGAUAUUUUAGAAAAAAUAUUCAAGAGUAUUAAAAUUUGUCUUCAAGUCCAUUCGAUCAAGAUUUAGAUGGACAAUAAUGCGUGAAUAUAUCCCGCCCAUGAUAGCAAAAACAGGUACCGUUAGCGGAUUAUUAAUAUUCAUGAUGUCAGCGAUACGCUUGGGCAUUGCAAUACAAGGUUUCCUUGUACUCUAUUCAUCGAACGUGUCUGUUUCUCGGAAAAACGAGCAACUGCGUAUCGGUAUGCAAGCAAUAAUGCAAUACGAUUGAUCGUUGUGCAAUGCUUCACCGCCACCGAUACUGUUUCAAAACGUGUAUUAGCGCCGAGUGAUCGAAAAAUUUUCUAACAAUCCUUAUUCUCUUCUAGAAAUUAAAAAUUAUUAUAAAAUUUUUUGUAUAAAUAUUGUUUUACAAUUAAUUUCUUUUUCUUUUUAACUUUUAUUUUAUUACACGUACAUAUAGUAUAAAUGUAUCUAAUGCACCGUUUCAUCACUUCCUCUUUCAAAUUUCCCUCGUAAUUAUUUGCCUCUAUUAUACAAACGCAUUCGCGCAUGCGCGCACAUAGUCAACAUGGUGUCGAAAACGCUUUCACGUUCCAACACCUGCUAAUUACUUUGGAACGCUGGGAAUAUUGAUGGCAGUGUUUAGACGAGAAAUUGUUACUCGACCGUCAUUGUCAUCCCCGUAAUUACCGGUCACGGAAUGAUUAUUGACUCGCCACGAUGCUGAUUACAACGACGGGCAGCGACAGUGUUCAUUGCGUGCCGCCGGCCUAUUAAUACGUUUCUUUUGCGAGCGUGUUGUCGAGGUCAUGGAUGGAACAGAGAGAAACAUCGACACUCUUAUAUACCACACCGCAUCGUGGAUCUUCAUUUUGAAUUAUGCCUUAUUGUGCCUCGUCUCGAAUCGCGACUGGCAUUGUGCUAAGGAUACGUGGACGUGAUUGUUUGCCUUUGACUCGAGUCACACCCUGGGUCAAUAUAUUCCUCGUGGCGAGUGUAGUGCGGCCAUUGCUGGCACACGGAAGCAUAUCGUCUAUCGCUUCGAGACGGAUGACCUUCCGAAGGUCAGCGCCUUUACUCCUUGAAGCCAUGCAGUUACACGCAAUAGUAUUCCGUCAAUAAUCCUGUACGUGUAACAAAUUGAAUGCAUUUAAUUAAGUUUCGGAUGGCACGGCAGCAUCAGUGGAAUAAUAUAAAGUAUGGACGGAUGGUAAUGCAAAUAAUUAACAACUGUUGAAGUUAUUUUCUCAGUCUGAUGAAUGGGACAAGUCUAAGAGUAGAAAAAGGAAAGUGUAUUUUUAAUGUAUUAAUUGGAUAGGUUGCAAUUAUCAAAAAUGAUCGAGAUGAUUGAUCGAAACCUACUUGUCAAUCCGUCCUUGCAAAAGAUCCCUCGGCUAGCCUCAAGGAUGACCAGUAAUAAUUCUUCAGGAACUAGAAUAUCGAUCCUGCCGCCUAACGACGUGUCAUUCCAAACAGAUCCCACGAUCCCGAUGCUUACGUAAAUAAUUGCCGUUCCAGUUUGUUUGCACGUCGCAUUUGCACGCUUAAGACUUGAUUGCAUCGUUGACGGCGACGUUACGGAACGCAGCCCUACUCCAUGUUAAAAGGCAAUCCCAUCCAGAAGUGGUACAGUGUCGACCUUGUUUUGCAACAAUGUUAUGGAUGUACCACAUGUUAUUACAAGGAAUGUGCAAUGUCGAAAAGAGAAUGGUAAUAAUUUUCGUGGCGAUGCCAGGAACACGACUCGUUCCUUCUUUUCUGGAAGCCGUAUAGGGGAAUGAAAUCCAAUUCCAAUUAAUUUCUUCUUGACUGAAUGGCAACUUGUUUACAAUUUUAAAAUCGGUAUCCUUAAAAAUAACUCUCUUCAUUGUUCUUCUUCUCCAACAACAUCAUUCCUCAUCAGUCGAAUCGUCAUGCCAUCUACCAAUGAAACACGCGCUGACUCUCAAUCACUUUGGUCCGCAUUGAGAAGGAAAAAGGAAAAAAAAAAAAGGAUCGUUCGAGACGCGCCACGGUGGUCAUUAUCAUCAUCAAUCGACCUAUAAAUAAUCAUGAGCCUCUGUAAAGGGAAGCGACUUAAUGAAAAUGUCAAUGACGCCGCAAAAACGAUCCUCUUCGUUCUGGCAUGGCGUUAUUCAAUGCUCGUACGCGGCCGCGGUCACAGGCGCGACUUCUUGUCUCUCGGUUGCACGCUCUUUUUCACUCGGUUGAUUUGCGCGCUGAGCAUUAUUCGUCAUUGCGGACACCUCGAUCACACCCUGCAUAAAGAAACUUGCCAUUCCGCGUUUCGAGACCGGAGAAUCGCGGUUUUGAUCCUCAUUUCCGUUUCGUCCGCCAGAUGGCUCAAUUUUUCCGCCGCCAUAUUGCCGUCCGCCGCUUGUCCACGCCGUUUUCCCCUCUGCUUUUUAUCCCGUGCUAUUUUUUACUCGUUGCUAUUUUCUUUCGAUUUUUCUUUUCGUCCUUUUUUCCCCCCCUUCCUUCGUUAUUGCUUUAUUUCGUUUGUUCGAUAUGUUUAAAUGAAUUGGAAGCGUGAAUCUCGUUAUCGUCUUGAUUUUUAUUGCGGUUAGGAAUUAUUGGAGGAAAGAUGUUGGGCUUGAUUCGAACGAUUAGAAAUAAUCUAAAGUUGGCUCAAUCAAAACGAUAUUGUCGAUAACCGUUAAUGAAAUUAUUUUAAAUUAGGAAAUAAUUAUUGUCGAUGACAGGAAAAUUUGUUUGCUUUCGACCAUAGCGUGUUGAUUGAAGAACGAGAUAGAAUUCAAUUCACAGUUUGAAAAAUUAUAGGGAUGCUUUCGUAUCUUACUUACUUAUUAACUUGGCAAUAAUUAACUUAUAGAGUUUUAUAAUUUAUCAAUUAAAAAUCUCUCUCGUGACACAUUCUACUCUUUUAUAAUCUAUAAUUAUUAGGUAUUUAAAAACACUUGCCAAUUUACUCUCUGUAACAGGGACGGGACAAGCGGGAAGCGAGUUAUAUUCGUAGCGGUACUUCUAGUUCUCGCCACCAUGGGGUUUCUAGCGUGACAACGGAACCUCUGUUUCUUGCGAUUCCUAUAUCCAAUCAUAUAUCCAUCAGAAUAAAUCAUUUCCUUAUAAGUUAAAUAAAA